rnacentral:rRNA from 1 species
GUGUCAGCAGCCGCGGUAAAACGUAGGAGGCGAGCGUUAUCCGGAUUCACUGGGUGUAAAGCGCGUGCAGGCGGUUCGGUAAGUUGGGCGUGAAAUCUCCCGGCUCAACUGGGAGAGGUCGUUCAAUACUACCGGGCUUGAGAGCAGUAGAGGAAGAUGGAAUUCCCGGUGUAGUGGUGAAAUGCGUAGAUAUCGGGAGGAACACCAGUGGCGAAGGCGAUCUUCUGGACUGUUUCUGACGCUCAGACGCGACAGCUAGGGUAGCAAACGGGAUUAGAAACCCGGGUAGUCC